GGUAGGCGACGUACCCGUCGAUAGCGAGGCGCCUGUGGUGACUUCGUCAAUCUCUCCAGGAUUUGCCAGUCUAGUCUUCAAAGAUGCUCAUAGGGGUAGGGUUUGCGUGCGUGUGUUCAUAGGGGGUGAGUGCGCUUACAUUGUGAGUGUCUGCGUUGUACUGUGUAAUUCUUAAAAAAAAAAGGACAAUGUAGCCGCGCUUCUCUAACGGGGGGACUGCUGAUCUGCGU
rnacentral:misc_RNA from 1 species